rnacentral:rRNA from 1 species
UACGGGGGGGGCAAGCGUUGUCCGGAAUUAUUGGGCGUAAAGCGCGCGCAGGCGGCUUCUUAAGUCUGAUGUGAAAGCCCACGGCUCAACCGUGGAGGGUCAUUGGAAACUGGGGAGCUUGAGUGCAGAAGAGGAGAGUGGAAUUCCACGUGUAGCGGUGAAAUGCGUAGAGAUGUGGAGGAACACCAGUGGCGAAAGCGGCUCUCUGGUCUGUAACUGACGCUGAGGCGCGAAAGCGUGGGGAGCAAACAGG